CUGUUGAGUUGGAAUCCAACGAGACAACAAACUUCAGACAGAAAGUUGAGAUUCCAUCGUGCUUGGAACUGAAAGAGUUGUUAAAAUUAGCACCAGAAAUUAUAGCAGAUGAAAGCAGAAGUGAAAAUAAAAUCAAAGAUCGAGGAAAACUCUUUCGUGAACUUGCUGUUUCCCAGGAUUCCCACUGCACAUCUUAUAUCCUUCCUCCUCACAUCAGAGCAGCCUUUCAUACAUCCCUGGAUGGGGCGGUAUGUAUCUGCUCUGAUUUGGAAGAUCUUACUGCAAAUAUUACAAAUGAAAUAGAGAUUUCAAAAUACUGUCCCACAAUGGAAGAGGUUUGUUUCAAUCAGAGCAGAAAUCCACUGGAAUGCAGUGAGGCAGUUCGUUAUGCUUUAUAUCCUCAAUAUGAAGUAGAAAUACCACUAACUCCACCAUCCAGACCACAAAGAUCACUCGUGAAUUCACUUCAUGCAGGACUUCAGGCA
rnacentral:lncRNA from 1 species